AUCAACUAUCUCCUUAUACAUAGGCCAGAAACGCUGCCAGGAGCAAAUGCUGUAUGGAGCCUAGAUCUCCUGACUCAGCUCUUACGGCACCCAGGUUGGGGAAGCUCCUGGAAAUGGCAUGUCUUUGCUUGUGGGUUCUUACCCAGGCCUCUUGGGUAUGAACCUGGCUGUGGCCUUCCUCUUUGCUUGGCUGUUUACCUCUCCUAUGAGCUGAGAUCAAGACGGAAGAGCAUCCAGAGGACUAAGGUGAGGAAACUGAGACAUGGGGAGUUCAAGCACACGUCUGGAGCCGCAUGGGUGGAGGAGCUAAAAUUCAAACCUAGGUCUGUCUGACUUCAGAGCAUGUGUGUUGAACCUUCCAGG